UAGCAGGACAUGCAAAUGUACUUAAAUUAGAUCAAUACAAAGAAAAUUAGCUCGGUUCCUGAGAAAGGAUGAUGUGCAGAUUCGUGAGGCCUUCCACAUUUAA
ensembl:snRNA U6 U6 spliceosomal RNA